GGCACUCAUUAGGUAAACACCAUUGAGCUACUAUUAGCACAUAAUUAAAUUUGAGCGCCAUUCAACUGUCAUAAAAAAUGUGUUGUAAUCUAAUUGCAGGCAAGGUUAUCCCCAAUCGAUUUUGAUUACCUUGGACACCUCUUCGGUACGGUGAACACAAGAAACAUCGAGAGUUCUGUUUCUCCUUUUUUUUAACAAGGUUUCUCCUUGGCACAAGGCUUCCUUUCUUCACUGAGAAUGAAAGGAAAGGAAGGAAGUCAAUGUCAAAAAUAU
rnacentral:lncRNA from 1 species